CACACACACACACACAUAUAUAUGUAUGUAUGUAUAUGUAUAUGUCCCUCCCCCCUUCUAUAUCCAGAGCCAUCCUCUGUGUGGUAGACUCUCAACAAAUGUCUUUACAAUGGAACCAGGUGACACUGAAUCCCUCUCUUUUGUACAUUCCUUCUAGCUCCAACCCCUGCACCCAGGCAAAGUUCUCCAUCUAAAUCAUCAGCAUCCCACGCCAGUGACCCCACCACAGAUGACAUCUUUGAAGAGGGCUUUGAAAGCCCCAGCAAAAGUGAAGAGCAGGAAGCUGAGUAUGAAUCCCUCUACGCGCAGAUCAACAGACCUAAGAAAUAGCAUCAUUGUGGGUUUGGGGUGGGCGCUUCAAGACUCAAAUGGAAACCUACAUCUCAACAGGCCUUGGGCUCUCCUGAUUUCUUUGAUAUGACCCCAUCUGACAAUGGAAUUGAUGGUUGCCUGCUGAACUAAUUCUACAGAUGGACCUGACCACUUGGGCAACCAGCGGCUAAUAUCUAUGGCAGCACAAAAAGGAAAAAAAAAAAGGAACCCCCACCAUCACCAUCCCUGGAACCGUCCAACAAUUACUUACCCUACAAAAUACCUUGAGCCCUCUUGACAAGAGUUCUGAAUUACCCACGAUGGGAAAUCUUUUUGUUUCCCUCAACCUUGACUAUUGCAUUUGGAGUCACUGGCAGUGAAAAGUUAACUUUUAAUGGCCACUUAUUUGUUUUAAGCAAAGUCAGAGGGUCUGGUGUGCUUGCAAGAUUGUUGUCCAUCAGGUUCUUGGACCCAAGUCUGAAUUUUUACAUCAAUGAUGAUUGUUUCUCAUAACUACAGAAAACUGGUCCUGCCUUGUGGCUUUGAUUUGGGGGUUCCCCUUCCCCUAGCAUACCUAAAGAUAAUGGGUGUACCAUUUUUUGUACUUCCUGGUAACUUCCCCCCCCAAUAAGUCAUGAAAUCUAGUUGGAAAUUGCCUCAUGUGAAAUGAAUCUUAACUUGAAAUCACGGAAUUAAAUCACACAACUGAUUAUUUGU
rnacentral:lncRNA from 1 species